CGUAACCCACCAUUCCAUAAUUUUCUCAGUCUUCCCCACUCCCUCAGUUUCCUCAUUCUCUAACAUUCAAAGUACUCUCUCCAUAGACCAAACCAACGCCUCUUCAUUUUAAAUCAGUCAAUAUAACCUCUCCUUAAAAUUCAAUCACCAUUAACACAUUUGGUUUCACAAAGCUUUAAGAAUUCAUACAAAAACAACACAGCUGACGAGACCGCCCCAGCCACCGUCAACUUCCGAUUCCGCCACCACCAACGGCUUGCCUUGCCCGAAUCCGCCUCCGUUUUUCAAUUUCUCACAAAGCCGACAAUGCAAUGAGCAGCGAAGAAAUUUUGGGCACCCAAGGAUAAAAGAAGAUCGAUCAUGCUUUUGCCUCAUGAAUUGAUUAUACAAAUCUUAGUGAAGUUGUCGGUAAAGUCUCUUCUACGUUCCAAGUCUGAUUGUAAGUUGUGGUUUUCUUUUAUUUCUCAUGAUUCCCAUUUUGCAUAUUCACAUUCUCAAAUUAACUCUAACACACUCGUAGAAUUCUUUUGAUAGAUUUUUAAAGAUUACCCCUGCAGUUUUGGGGCUAAUUGACUAUUAGCCAAUUACUUUUACUCUAAUUAUAAAUAAAAUAGUAAUUGAAAUAUUAUAACUUUCAUUUUAAUUCAACAAACAAAAAUAUUAAUCAUUGUUCUUAUUUCAAACGUAAAUUGGAAGAUGACAUAGAAUUGGAAAAGUAGAUAAAAUCAACCCUUUACUGGUGAUAUUCUCUCCACUACAUUCUAUGUUUCCUCACUACCAAAGAGACCAAUGGAACAACCUUACUCAUCUUUGUCAAUUUUGUGACAAUAUCACUUUUACUAACCUUUUCGUUGAUAGCCUUAAUUCUAGUCACAGAUUUAAUAAGUUUGUCAACUCCGUUUUGGCGUUUAUUUGGACUCACAUUCAAUCAACCUCAAGUUUAUUAUGGUAGACUUCAUUUGACUUUCCAAAAAUUGUCAAAUGGCUCAAUAUUGUUGUUCAAUGUCAAAUGAUAGCCGUUGACACGGAAAAACAAUAUUGAGUCAUUUGACCAUUUUUGGAAAGCCUAGUCGAAAAACAAAAUAAAGGUUACUAUAAGAAACUUCGAGAGUUAACAAGUAUUGAAUGUGAGUCCGCAUCAUCUCUCAAAGCCAAAACAUAGUUGACAGACUUGUUAAAUCUACGACUAGAAUUAAGGCUAUAAACGACAAUGUUAGGGAAGGUGAUACUGUCACAAAAUAUCUAAAGAUGAGACCAUCUCUUGCUCAAUACGGCCUCUAUGGUGGUCAGCUUUUGCAAUUUUACGUUGUCUUCCCAUUUACUCUUGUUUCCGAAGGGAAUUAGAACAAUGAUUAGGGUUUUUGUUUGUUUAAUUAGAAUAAAAUUUUGUAACUCUAAUCUUUCACUUAUUAUUUUAUUUAUAAGAGCAAAAAUAAUUGGCUAAGAGUUGAUUAACUCUACAACUCAACUCAUGAAGAAUCUCUAUCCAUAGAUUUUGAAGCAUCACUUGACGAUGACAAUGCUUCUUUUUCACUCAACCUUCCAGGGGAUUUUACAGGCUUUCAAAUUAGAGGGUAGUGUAGAGGUUUCAUACUUUUCUACAGUUCCUUAAACAUCUACCGAAUCCAUCCAUUGGAGAUUAUAAACAAAUACUUUAUCUCCUUUUGGUUCCAAUUUAGACGUUGGAUAUUUCUAUGGUUUUGGGUAUGAUGAUUCAACCCAUGAUUAUUUGGUUGUUUCAAUGUCUCGCCUGGAGUUCUUCUCAUUGAAAUCUAAUAUAUGAAAAGAAGUUGGGGUCCUUACUUCCCUUAUACCUUCUAGGAGUAUGAGCUCAAAGGUGGUUUGCUCUAUAAGGGAGCUAUUCAUUGGUUGGCUUAUCGUUAUGAUUUACAAAGUGAUGUUAUUGUUGCAUUUGAUUUAAUGGAAAUGAAACUUUUAUAUAUGAUUUUGCAUUGUUAUGGUAAUCCUUUGGAUAGUGGUUUGUGGAUAUAUGGAGAAUUUCUCAGCGUAUACACUUUGAGUUAUAGUAAUGAUCCAGUUGAAUUAUGGGCGAUGAAAGAACACAAAAUGGUGCAGAUGGAUUGGUGAAGUACGAUAAAAGUGGACAGUGUCUGGAGCAACAUUCUUAUCCAAAUUACGACCUUAGAUGUGAAUUGACUAUCUUUAGUGAAGGCAUCCCCAAAGUUGCAAAAAUGGAACAUGGCCAUGAGUUCCUUCUUCUUUCUUUUUGCUUUUGAACUCUUCAUUCUCAAAUUCUGAUUUUGUAGGAUAAAAGGAUAGAAAGUGCAUCCAAACAAGUUUUUAUGUCAUUAACUAGAAAUGGCUAGUUA